rnacentral:ncRNA from 1 species
GCAAAAACAGUGAAGAGGAUCAGUAGGAGUGUAAACCGUUCAGAGAACUGUCGGUAGGUGCAAGGCAGGAGGUAGAAGCUUUGAACUCGCCUCGGAGUUCCGGUGUUGAAAGAAGAAGUAGAUGCCGGCGGGAAUUCCCGUUACAGAAAGAAUGAGUGCAUUUGCAGAUGCAAAUGAAGAAGAGUGGUACCACGGAAAAUAAGCCUUUUCGUCUCUUAA